CGCUCAUCCAGAGGGGCAGAGGGACACGGCCCGUUGAAGCCCCGGCAACCCUCCAGUCGGUUCUCGCGAUCGCGCAUCCAGCGACGUCAGCGAGGUCCCCGGCUAGGGAAGGUGCCAAUUCCGUCUCAUGGCGAAGUGCGCCAUGGGGAAGAUGAGGA
rnacentral:ncRNA from 2 species